AACGAACGCUGGCGGCAGGCCUAACACAUGCAAGUCGAGCGGACAUCUUCGGAUGUUAGCGGCGGACGGGUGAGUAACGCGUGGGAACGUGCCCUUUGCUUCGGAAUAGCCUCGGGAAACUGGGAGUAAUACUGGAUGUACCCUUUGGGGGAAAGAUUUAUCGGCAAAGGAUCGGCCCGCGUUGGAUUAGGUAGUUGGUGGGGUAAUGGCCUACCAAGCCGACGAUCCAUAGCUGGUUUGAGAGGAUGAUCAGCCACACUGGGACUGAGACACGGCCCAGACUCCUACGGGAGGCAGCAGUGGGGAAUCUUAGACAAUGGGGGAAACCCUGAUCUAGCCAUGCCGCGUGAGCGAUGAAGGCCUUAGGGUUGUAAAGCUCUUUCACCGGGGAAGAUAAUGACGGUACCCGGAGAAGAAGCCCCGGCUAACUCCGUG
rnacentral:rRNA from 1 species